GAUGAAGAACGUAGCGAAAUGCGAUAAGUAAUGUGAAUUGCAGAAUUCCGUGAAUCAUCGAAUCUUUGAACGCACAUUGCGCCCCCUGGUAUUCCGGGGGGCAUGCCUGUCCGAGCGUCAUUGCAACCUUCAAGCGCGGCUUGUGUGUUGGGUCUCGUCCCCCGUGGACGGGCCCGAAAGGCAGUGGCGGCGUCCCGACAUGGUGCCCGAGCGUAUGGGAAUCCUCUUCCGCUCGAAUCGGCCCAUGCGGCGCUGGUCGUAACCAAAUUUUUUACCGGUUGACCUCGGUUCAGGUAGGGAUACCCGCUGAACUUAAGCAUAUCAAUAAGCGGAGGA
rnacentral:misc_RNA from 1 species